rnacentral:misc_RNA from 1 species
UUGGCAAGAUAUUCACCUUGCACUCUGGAGCUGCCAUAUGUUUGAAGCCCUUCAUCUCUUGAUCUGGAAACUGAGGCCUUCCUUGAUUCUGUUGGGUGCUGCCUGGUUAUCCUUUCUUGGCUUGAAAGUUCUGCAGCAGCCCUGGCAGCCAUGCUUGCUCGUUCUGCAGAUUCAGCAGCUGCCUGUGCAGCUGCUGUCGCAUCCUUGAAUUCCAUAUUCCAACUCUGCAUACCCACAGAAAAACCACUUUGUUCUGCAGCAAACGAAUGCCUAAAUUCUAUCUCUUCAGAUCCAGUUCCAAUAGAUCUUGGAUCAAGAUUGGAUGUCCCUGAUGGCAUUGCCUGACUAGUACCCACAGCUGGAAAAGGAACAUUUUGGGAAUGUGGUGAUGAUUUUGAAUUGGAUGCAUAUGAGUUGACAGCGUUUUCAUGUUUUUCAUAGUAAUUGGAAGGAGCUUUGAAAUUAGGGUGCCCUUUGUCAAAACUAUUUGGUCGCUCUUGGACAUUAGCAGCCUCUACAUGCAUUUUACUGGCCUGCUCAAAUGUAUUUGGUCCAUUCAGCAAGUCCUCGUGAGGCUUCAUAUCUUUCUCUCCAAAUGAUGUAGGAUCCCAUUUAACAUUAUGUUCCUCAGCGAUGGCACUCAGAAUUUUUAUUUUGGUGGGACCAUCAGGUGAUUUGGCUGACAGUUUUUCCACCAGCAGGCGGCUGACACCACAAUCUGGACGUAGUUCAACAGAUGCAGAGACAAAUUCUUUCCCAUAUUUUGCCGUAAAAUGCUUCCGGACAUCCAUCAAUUCAGGUAUAUCCGCACAUCUUGGAGAUGCAAAAAUUACACUUGCGAUUGCUUCCUUCAAGUCAAUGGGACAAUUUUUUUGCGACUCAAUGAUUGACAAGCGCGCUACAAUAAGUUCACAGUAUAUCUCAAUAAGAUCAUAUGCAGCCAUUGUCUUCUCUUCCCGAACCACAUGCUCAACCCGAAUUCUGGCAGUCUGGUCCUGGCCAGUCUCCAACAAUUGAGCCAAUUCCCUCUUCAGCUGCUUCAGCUGCGCUUCUCUCUUAUUCUUCAAUAAUUUUAUGCGCGAAGCCGCUAGCUUCAAAGCCGUUUUGCAUUUCGCCGGCUUGAAGCUCUUGUGAAGCAUAGCUCUUCAAUAGGCUCUGUUUUUUUCUUUUUUUUUGGACGAAUGAUAGAUUGGAAAAGAGGGAAUUUUGAUUUGUAUAUGAGAAGAAGAGAUUCUGAUCUGCGUGAAAUAAUUAUCAGAGAUCUUAAAUUGGAAAAUAAACAGAGAAUUUGAAGCGCAAGGAAUCGAAAUUUCGCGGAAUCUCUUUUGCCAUC